rnacentral:rRNA from 1 species
CUGCAACUCGCCUGCAUGAAGUCGGAAUUGCUAGUAAUCGUAGGUCAGCAUACUACGGUGAAUACGUUCCCGGGCCUUGUACACACCGCCCGUCAAACCAUGAGAGUUGGCAACACCCGAAGUCGGUAGUCUAACCGCAAGGAGGACGCCGCCGAAGGUGGGGUUGAUGAUUAGGGUUAAGUCGUAACAAGGUAAC